AGAAACAAACUUCUGACCAAAAUAUACAAGUUGAAAGAGAGUGACUGUUAGAGGGGAAUAAAUCAGUCCAAGAGGUACAGUAACCCACAGAAACACAGGAGAAGAGGAACAUGGGGAUGUACAUGGGUAUGGUUCGGUAACAGGUACAAAAACAGAGAUAAUACAUACGAACAGAGCAGGAUGAACGUAUGCAUAGCAAAUGAGCUACAACAGAGAACAAAAAUUAAACAGAACUGCAAAAGCACAAUAGUGUGGGUUAGGCUGGCUAGCCAAUCAGGACCACGGAGAGACUGCAUGGAGAAAGGCUGAGGAUGGGUCUGCACUUCUGAUUGUUGGCAAACAGGCGGCACCCUUCUGAAAGCGAACUGCUCAGCUCUUUUGAGAGCUAUCAGAUGAAAAGAAACAAAGAGGGGGAAAAAGAAGAUUUUCAGUGUGUUUAUACAGUUGAAGUCAGAAGUUAACUUAGCCAAAUAUAUUUAAACUCAGUUUUUCACAAUUCCUGACAUUUAAUCCUAGUAAAAAAAAUCCCUGUAUUAGGUCA